rnacentral:lncRNA from 1 species
GUUUAGGUCAUUAAACCCAUCUGUUACUAUUUUCUUUAAAAGCGAAGAUAAGGCAUAACGCCGAUAUAGUGAUGGAAUUCAAACCUUCGAGACCUGCAAAUGUACUUUAGAACAGAAAGCAACAAUAUUUUUCAUCAAGGUUCAACUGGAACCUCCCGAGGUUCCUUUUACAUCUCUUCUUGUUUUGACCACUCAAGAGAAACAUGAGAGUUUCCUGGAUACAAAGCAACUAAGUAGCAGGAAGAGCUGGAUUCUGAAGUUAAAGCCUUGGCUUGAAGAUUCAGCAGUAUCACUAAUGCC